rnacentral:lncRNA from 1 species
CACGGAUCAAUGCAUUAGCGCCCGCUGCUUUGAAUGCCAAACAGGGCUCGGCUGCACCUCCAGCGCCGCUGGGCCGACCGCACGCGGCCACUCUGCCGGCCGCACAACAGAAAACGCCUUCUUCCCCCCGAGCAGCCCGGAAUGACUGCGGCGCUGUCUAAUCGCAGCCCCGGCCGUCCUCCGGCGGCGCCGCACGCCGCCCGCCUGCCGAGGCUCGCUCAAGUUUCUGUCUUAUUACGGCUGGAGGAGGGAGCGGAUUCCCAUGCAGAGCUGGGCUCCUGCUUCCCAUGAGGGCGCUGCUGGAUGUACCCACAGUGAAGCUGGAAGCUGGAAGCUGCAGCGACUAGAACAGGACUGGCCUCUAAUUUACACACAGUGAGGUCAUUUCAGGUUUAGGGGGGAAAAUUAUUGACAAACUAUUUUUAGCCACGUAAAAAUGCUGUUUGUGCUGACAGCACCCAUGGUGUUUGUGGUGACUUUCUCUAAUUAUUUUACCCAGUCUAUAAGACAUGGAUCACGCUUUGCAUCAUUGUUUAUAUGAUGUUAGAGAAACAUGACAUGAGCAGCAAAGACACAGAGUGCAGCCCUUUGGGAGUGACCGUAUAGUUGCUUAGGAGCAACAUAUGGUCUUGGGUUUGUUUUUUUAUUUUGUCAGGCGGCCUCUGAAACUAGCGUCUGUUCUGCAUUGAUCAGCCUUAAUGAUGUUUUCAAAGCCAAGAAGCAGAAAGGAGACAAAGAAAAGAGGGUCAGAUGGCCGUUCUGCAGACUCUAAAGUGAUCUCUGCCUCCACCCACACCCUCACCAAGCAGUGGUUAGGUUGGUUUGUGAACGAUAACAUGAUCUGGACACUAAAGUCUAGUGUUAAUUGACAAAUUAAUGCUGGAGUCUGUUUUAGAUUUUUAUCCAUAGUUCAUCAACAGUUUGAAGAAGGAAGGGAAAUGUUAUGUAACCUAGGUUUUUACCGUAGACCGACCUUUAUUAUAAGGAUAUACAAUAACCUCACACUGUAUUCACAUUUAGAUUAUAGAACCUUUUAGAAUAUACGGGUAUAUAAACAAUGUGGAUAUUAUCCCACAGCACAGUUCCUUCAUCCUCCUACUUCACCAUCUCUCCAUUAUUACAUGCAUGAACACGCACCUUUGAAAGUACACAGGCCGUGCCCUUUCCCCAAAGUUUCACCGAAAACCUAUUAAUUACUGUCACUUGUGACAUUCUCUGUUCUGUUUUAAAUGUAUCAAAAAAUAUCUUCAUAGUUUCUGGCAGACUUCCUAAAAUGCCCAUUAAUAUUAAUUCCAGAGUUAUCUGAACCCCCGCUUCCCUCUUGCAGUGGUAGUUAGUAUUUCCACUGGUGGGGAAAAUAGCUUUUUAAGAUUGCCGUGAUGUGGCAACAAAUCACAUUCUGACAUCACCGCAAAGAGGUCAAAAUCAAUCAGCCGCCCAGUGGCCUUUGACAUUCAAUAAACGUCUGCGGGUAUUUAUAUGCGUCCCUAAC